rnacentral:rRNA from 1 species
UUGAUUACGUCCCUGCCCUUUGUACACACCGCCCGUCGCUGCCCGGGACUGAGCCGUUUCGAGAAAAGCGGAGACUGCUGUUUUGAUACCUUUCGGGGUGGAGAUCCUUUGGUGGAAACCGCUUUAAUCGCAGUGGCUUGAACCGGGCAAAAGUCGUAACAAGGUUUCCGUAGGUGAACCUGCGGAAGGAUCAUUA